rnacentral:lncRNA from 1 species
AUUCAAAGCUCCAAAAUAUUCCAAAACUAAACACUUUCGAACACUAAUGCUUUAGCACGUUCAAUCAUAAAGUCUCAUCGACUCGUUGUCACCAAAAGAGGCCUACAAAAGAAAUGUAUAAAUUGAAUUAGUAUCCCAUUUAGGAACAACGACACCAAUUAACAUGAAUCCAACAGAGGUAAGUGAUUACAAAAGGUUUACAUUGUACACUCAGUUACCAAAAAAGAAAAAUAAAACAAAUAAAAAAAAAAGCAAACAGAAGCGAUCCUUAGUCCUUCUCCUCACUAAUAUAUAUAUAUCUUAGCACCUACAAAGGGAAGAUUACCGCCAACAUCACAUUGCAGUGGUACACAAUAUCUUCUAGUUUCUUUCUGAGUGUAAUAUAUAUAUAUAUAUAUAUAUAUAUAUAUAUAUAUAUAUAUUGGUAAAUGAAUACCCGUUAUAACUACGGGUAAUACCCAUAAGCGCCCAUAUAAAUUUCACGGAUAAACGGUUAUACACAUAACUGUUUGUUCGUUUAAACGGUUAACCAUAACCGUAACUGUGAACUUUAAAUGGGCGGGUAACCGCGGUUACCCUAACCCAUAGGUAUUUUGCCCAUUCCUAAGUCCAGGCUCUCUGCUCUGGAUUAAGUUUGUGCCCUUUGGAAUGGUAAAUAAAUUCAUCACCUUCCUCCACUGAAAUUUUCUUUGUGUUCAAUGCCGUACCUCCUUGGUUUUAGCAUCAAAAGCUGCAACAAAAUUUGAAGAAGAACAACAUUGUUGAAAUUGUAGUGAAUUUGAGGGGGGAAAUGUAGAGAACACUAAGCAUAUUGAGUGUCAAGCUUCUCAUAAUAUUUAUUGCCUACACUAUCAACACCUACAAGCCUAGCCCCAAUAUUAUGGAUCUUGGUUUGCCUAAAGCAAUCAAAUAAAAUUUGUUACAUACACUAGAGAAACAAGAAUGAAAAAUGCACACUUGAAUUCGCAAAAAUACUUGCCCUACAAAUGCACGCAACAUUUUCUUGUCAAAUGCACAUUCUCAUUUUACCAGCGUAACCAUACUUAAUAGUCAACAUUGGACAUUACAUAAUCAAGUUAUAAAAUAUCAUUUUUCCAAGGCCCAUGACAGAUGCGCCCAAACGAGAAAUAGGAAUGUAACUGAAGUUACAAAUCCAAGACCUAACAUGUAUAUGGAAAUUGAAAGGUCAGUUAUACGUUGUAAACAUGGUGUGCAUAUCAUGUGCAUGUCGUGUACAUACAGUGUAUAUAAUGCGUAUUUACAUAUUUGGUGCUUUUCGCAUUAAGGUAGUUUAGGACAUGGUAAGCGCUCAAGAUAACAAAGAUACAUAGUCCUCAUGUUUAUUAUCAUAUAAUAGUUAGCAAAUACAUUGUACAACUAUAUUACAUUACUUAACAUUCUAGUAGUUGUUGAUAAUUUAUGGUUGUCACAACCCAGAGCAGUUAAUUCAUUCAAUGGAAAAACAGAGAUAAUACAAUCAAAGCAUCUAGUACAUUAACAUUCAAUUCAACCAUCUUUUGCAGAGUAAAGUAAUAUGGUUUUGUCCCCAGAGAAGUGGAUAAACUUAAUUAAGCAUAUUUAGUAAUUACAAAAGAAUCAUUUACAUAGGCUUUCUUUCUAAAAAUAAAAUUCCCAAUUUAUAAUAACUUGAGCUAUAUUUAUUGAUAAAUAGCACAAGUUUUACAGAUUUGAUAUUUUUUUAAUAUAGAGCUAUAAACAAUUGUUUUAUGUUACAUUCAAAACAAAGGAAACAAAUAAUGAGAGGGGAAAGUUAUAACGAAGAGAAAAUAGAACCUUUUUGAACUAGCAAUCUCCAAAGGCCCUAGAAACUUCAAGAUGCCCCUGGUGUUGUCCAUUGAACCCACAUUACCGCCAUCCUAUGUGACAACACAACAUGUUUCAAUUAGAUUCAGAUAAAAGUAAUAAAACAUGAAUUACAUAUUAUUAUCCGGAAUUGAGGAAGAAUGAAAUCCCCAGAAAGUAGCAAACAUAAAAAGCAAUAUAAACUCAAUUAAGUCUUAAUCCCACUUUACAUAUAGCAACCCUUACCUUCUGAAUACAAGCACGCUCAUGUACGCUCCUGUCCAUAGGUGGCUUCAGGUUCCCUAGUUAAAACAAUCUCUGUCAGAUGACAUGCUUCAUUAGAACCAUGUAGCCAGUGGCGAAGCCAGGAUUUCUCGGGGGGAGGGGCGAACUUAAAAGAGUGCAAAGUUAAAAAAAAAAUGGCAACAACUAAACUUUUUAUAUAGUAAUGUCUUCCAUAAUUAAUCAAUACAAACAAAUUACAAUUAUUGCCGGCGAUAUUUCAUAUCAUGAAAAAGUCGCAUAAUAGGCUCAUUAUCAAUAAAACCAAAUACAUCUCUCUCAAUGUAAACAACCAUGCUAUCACUCAACCAUUGAUCUCCCAUUUUGUUACGCAAUGAUGUUUUCAUAAUCUUCAUAGCAGAAAAAAACUCUCUCCACUGAAGUGGUUGCAACCGGUAAUACCAAAGCCAAUGUAAGAAGCUUAUACACUAACAUAUAGCUUUCACACCUCCAUGUCUUCAUUAACUCUUUUGCAAGAUCACUAAUUCCUCUUAAUGAUCAAAACUCACUAUGCAUCUUCAUAUCAUGAAUGUAAUUGUCAAGUUGAAUUGGAAGAUUCAUGAGGUCCAUACGAUCAAAAUCUUGAGAAUAAACAUGGGCUAAACGAACAAUUUUUGCUUUGUCAAAAGAUGCAAAAUUAUUCACCGGACUCAAACAUGUCUUUGAAUUACCUAGUUGCUUCACCGAGAUUAUCUUGGUUGUUAUCACUACAAGCAGUCAGUUACAUUACGAAAGUAAAAUGCGUCUACGUGUUCAUUUCUAAACUCGACAUACAAUUCCAAGCUGCAUUCAGCAAGUACUGUAAUUUACACUCAACACACAUAUAUACAAAUGUAAAUUGGUCAUAACACCGCAAAAACUGAAAAUUCGAGAACUGAACAAACCUCAACAAUCUCGUGAGCCGUCUUCAUGUCCAAUGCCAGCACCCUAUGGAACUUUGAGCCUCACCAG